rnacentral:rRNA from 1 species
GACGAACGCUGGCGGCGUGCCUAAUACAUGCAAGUAGAACGCUGAAGGAGGAGCUUGCUUCUCUGGAUGAGUUGCGAACGGGUGAGUAACGCGUAGGUAACCUGCCUGGUAGCGGGGGAUAACUAUUGGAAACGAUAGCUAAUACCGCAUAAUAGUAGAUGUUGCAUGACAUUUACUUAAAAGGUGCAAUUGCAUCACUACCAGAUGGACCUGCGUUGUAUUAGCUAGUUGGUGGGGUAACGGCUCACCAAGGCGACGAUACAUAGCCGACCUGAGAGGGUGAUCGGCCACACUGGGACUGAGACACGGCCCAGACUCCUACGGGAGGCAGCAGUAGGGAAUCUUCGGCAAUGGACGGAAGUCUGACCGAGCAACGCCGCGUGAGUGAAGAAGGUUUUCGGAUCGUAAAGCUCUGUUGUAAGAGAAGAACGAGUGUGAGAGUGGAAAGUUCACACUG